ACUCCUACGGGAGGCAGCAGUGGGAAUAUUGCACAAUGGGGAAAGCCAUCGAUGCAGCCAUGCCGCGCUGUGUGAAGAAGGCCAAUUCGGGCUUGGUUAAAGACACAUUUUCAGUAGGGAGGAAGGUAGUGUAGUUAACACCUGCACUAUUUGACGUUACCUACAGAAGAAGCACCGGCUAACUCCGUGCCAGCAGCCGCGGUAAUACGGAGGGUGCGAGCGUUAAUCGGAAUUACUGGGCGUAAAGCGCAUGCAGGCGGCCUGUUAAGUCAGAUGUGAAAG
rnacentral:rRNA from 1 species